rnacentral:rRNA from 1 species
AUUGAACGCUGGCGGCAGGCCUAACACAUGCCAGUCGAGCGGAUGCAGGGAGCUUGCUCCUGGAUUCAGCGGCGGACGGGUGAGUAAUGCCUAGGAAUCUGCCUGGUAGUGGGGGAUAACGUCCGGAAACGGGCGCUAAUACCGCAUACGUCCUGAGGGAGAAAGUGGGGGAUCUUCGGAUCUCACGCUAUCAGAUGAGCCUAGGUCGGAUUAGCUAGUUGGUGGGGUAAAGGCCUACCAAGGCGACGAUCCGUAACUGGUCUGAGAGGAUGAUCAGUCACACUGGAACUGAGACACGGUCCAGACUCCUACGGGAGGCAGCAGUGGGGAAUAUUGGACAAUGGGCGAAAGCCUGAUCCAGCCAUGCCGCGUGUGUGAAGAAGGUCUUCGGAUUGUAAAGCACUUUAAGUUGGGAAGAAGAGCAGUAAGUUAAUACCUUGCUGUUUUGACGUUACCAACAGAAUAAGCACCGGCUAACUUCGUG